rnacentral:rRNA from 1 species
UACGUAGGCAGCAAGCGUUGUUCGGAAUCACUGGGCUUAAAGCGUGUGUAGGCGGCCCGUUAAGUGCCUCGUGAAAUCCCCGGGCUUAACCUGGGAACUGCGUUUCUAACUGGCAGGCUUGAGUGUGGCAGAGGGGGGUGGAAGUUCCACGUGUAGCAGUGAAAUGCGUAGAGAUGUGGAGGAACACCGAUGGCGAAGGCAGCCCCCUGGGCUAACACUGACGCUCAUGCACGAAAGCGUGGGGAGCAAACAGG